rnacentral:ncRNA from 1 species
AAGAUAGAGGCGCGGAGGUUAUCAGUAGCUAUCCGGAGGCAGCGAAGGCCGAAGAAGGGCAGGGAAAGGAGCAUCCGCCGAAACAGACGAUUUUUUCGCAGAUCGUGAUGUUGGGGUACAGUUUAAGAGACUGUGCACUCUCACCGGA